GAGAUUUCCCAUUCCGCAAGGAAGUAAGAUCCCUGAAAGAUGAUCAGGUUGAUAGGUCUGAGGUGGAAGCGUGGUGACACGUGGAGCUGACAGAUACUAAUAGAUCGAGGACUUAACCUAUAUU
rnacentral:rRNA from 2 species